GUACACCUCUUGAGUGUGUGUGUGGGAUUUAGUUGUUUCAUUUUCUCUGUGCCCUGAAUGCCAUUUGUCAACACAUUAUGAUGUGCCCUUGUAGAAUCCACGUAAGCAGCUUCUAGACUAGACUUUUCUAGCUAUAUAAAGACUGACUAGAGCUUCACGGUAAAUUGCCCGGAGAGCUUCUAUAACUAAAAUGUAAAUAUUUAAUUACACACUUCAAAAUCCACUUAUAAGAAUCAUAAUUAUUUUUUACAAUUAUAAAAAUUAAUUAAAAAUUUUCAUACAUAUUAAGAUAAAAAUAUUUUCUAUAAGUAACCUAAAUGAAACAUAAAAAUAAAGUUCCCAUUGAAAACUAGAAAAGCUUCUUAAAAUUUACAGAAAAAAAGAACUAAAACCACCGUUAUGAUGAAGAUCACAGAGAGAAGUUAUAAUUCAGUUUGCAACGUAAGAAGCAGAAACAAAUAUUAGCUAAGUAUGAAAAAACGUAAAUAAAAGAAAAGGCUAAUUAAGAAGUAGAUAGAAUAGUACCUCUAGCUGUAUUAUUUGCCAUCCCCAAGGAAGUCGAUGAUGAAAAGAAAGUUGACUUAAUUACUGAUUAGGUUAUUCCAUCAUCUAAAUGUCUAUUAGUAACAUGAACUUCACUGUGUUAAUAUUAUAUUGCAAAGUUGUUAUUACUUGUGUAAUGUGUGAACAAGCAAUCAUUGAAGACCUUCUUAACUGAUUCACCUGGUCAUCCUCACCAUUGCUUCUUGGCCACCACGAAAGUCACCAUCCUCCUUUGUAUGACAAGCCCCUGCUCCUUCUGCUUUGACUAUCCCUCUCCUCCUUCUCGCUCUCUCACUAGUAUCGACCAACAACGAAGGCUGCUAAUCACUCCUCUUCAUAGCUCCAACCUUCAGAUUUCGAUAUUGUGGCAUUUAACUAUCUAACUCAGCCCGGAUCACGGCACAAUUUUGACUGCAGAGCAUCUACCUCUGGUAGUGGAGGCACCAGCAAAAUUCUAACAUCGAGCAUCUACCUUUGGCUUGUGGAGGCACCAAGUACAAGCUGAUGUUACCAGCUAAGCUUCCGAUCUCAAGGCCCACUGUAUUAUGUUUCCUCCCGAGUUGAAUUCAAAGUCAUUUAUAGAGUUACUGGUGCUUCUAUCCAACAUGAAGGUUAGCUUGGUUUUUUUCCAUGGGGUUUUGGUGUAUUUCUUUGUCUCGAACUGUAGCUUGCUGAGUGAAUUUGAAAGUGGGGAUUUGGGUCAGCUUUGAUGUUGUGUUUGGUGGCUGAUGGGGAAAUUAGGAAAAGUGGAUUCCUGGUGAAAAUUUAAUGUUGAAAUUUUGUUAUUUUCACCUUACUUUCCUGCAAACACUCAGCAACCAAACAUGUCAUAUUUGAGUCUAUUCAUCUCUCAGUAAUGAUUAUUCUCCUUGAA